ensembl:lncRNA
GUACUGGAGCUGGGUUUUCCCACAGGAUCCUACGCAUUCAGCCUCUGGUCUCCAGAACCCUCGCUGCCACAGCAAAGGCUCUCUUCCUGGCCCCACCAGCUCCACCGAUAAUGCCUGGUAAGCUCAUCCUUGGGAACCAUUCAGCUCUUAGGCACCACCCAACUCCCUCCCAGACUUGUUUAAAAUCUCUAUUUUAAUGCUUAUUCUGCUAGACUGGGAUUAAUUUUUUAAAUUCCUGAAGCCAGGGGAAGCCAUAUCCAUUUCUCUCUGAAUUCUCAUCUUCUACACAGGUCCUGACAAGGAAGGACAGAGUUAUUUUGGUACGGGGCAUACAUAUUACACUCUGGUCAUAUGCAAUCUGUUCCUGUUUUGAGGGCCAAUAACUAGCAAUUGGCAUGACCCUGUGGAGAGCUCCAAGCAGGGUCCACCAACCCUCCUAAAUUCUCUGCUUGGGAUUUCAUCUCCCUCAAAGGCUAGGAGUUAAAUAAAUUUAUUUCCCCUCUGUAAAUAAUAUCAAGUCAAAUCAGAAGGUAACACUGAAACAAAGAUUGCUGGAGUGAGAGUUAAUAAAGUUGGAUUCUAGCCUUAGCUCUGACAGCAAAUAGGUGAGCACCAUUGGAGAGAUUGUUUGGCCUCUCUGACGAUCAGUGUCUUCAUCUAUAAAAUCCAGAAUUUGGUCUGGGUGAUGUUAUUUUCUAACAAAUAUCCAUAGUCUCCAAGGGGGUAAAAAUUCUCCAGAGGGGUUUGAGGAAAAGGUAAAGUGAAAAGGAACUGAGUUAUCCAGGUUUGUAGAUACAAAAUGAUUGUGAAAACACCCAGCACAGGCCUGUGUACAAUGAGUCCUCAAAAGAUAAGGACUCCAUUUCUCCCUGAAACGUUUAUUUCUACACUUCUGGGUACUCGAGAAAUCAGACCUACCCCGUUUAUUUCACUACCCUGAUCCAGAGCUUCAUCUCCCUUGAGGAGUUCCUCUCCCCUCCCCUCCUGCAGUGCGUGACCUUAAAGGAAGUCAGCACAGAGUGGUAGGGGGUGGUAUGGUAAAUUGCGUACCUAAAAAAGAUAUGUGGAAGUCCCCAUACUUCUGAAUGUGACCUUAUUUAAAAGCAGGGUCAUUACAGGAGUAAUCAAGUUAACAUGAGGUCAUUAGGAUGGGCUCUAAUUCAAUAUGACUGGUGUUUUUAUAAAAAGGAGAAAUUUGGACACAGACACACACACACAUACACACACACACAGAGAACAUGAUGUGAAGACACUCAGGGAGAAGAUGGUUGUGUGACUGGAGUAAUGCGUCAAUAAGCCAAAGAACUCAAAGAAAGGUUGGCAGACGCCAGAAACUAGAAGCAAGAAAAGAUUCUCUCCUAGAACUGUCAGACAGAGUCUGGCCUUGCUCGAGCCUUGAUUUGGGACUUCUAGUCUCCAGAACCAUGAGACAAUAAAUUUCUGUUGUUUUAAGCCACCCCCAAUUUCUGAUACUUUGCUACAGCCGUCCUGAAAAAUUGAUAUGAGAUCCAAGCCCAGCUGUGUGGGCGGCAUAGAGAAAGAGUCGGGGGGGUUGUGUGUGUUAGAAGGUAAUUUACUUCAUGGGCAGGUAGCGUAUGGGUCCUAGAAAACCACAGACACUGUUUGUGAAAAAUAACUUCAAUUCAUUGGCAGAUUCUACCUAUUCUUCUUUCUCACCUCUUCACUCUUCUUUUGUUGCCCUGCUCCACCUUCCAAACCCUUGCUCAGCGCUUCUCUGCAGCUCUGCAUUGGCUCCUUUAAAAGGAGUAUUUUAUUCUGAUGUUUACUUAGAAAUAUUAGUCCUACACAAUCUGGCGUGGUUGAAGAGGCCUCAGAGUGAGGGAGAGAGAUGGAGGCCUCUUGCUUGGAGGAGAUUUCAGGAGGCUCAGACCCUGGUGGCACCAGUAAAAGGAAGCCAACUAAGGUAACUUUUUUUUUUUCCCCCAGUUUGUAAAUCCUCCUUGUGAAACUAGUAUAAUAGACGCUGUAUAAGAACUCUGCUGGAUUCCCCCUUCUGGAAUCUUCGGGGCGCCUGACAUAACCCUCACCCUCUGCAUGGUGGAGGGCAGAGAGGCGUCCCUCUGUGUGCUCCAACGCAACUUUCCACUGAAUCUGAGUUUGGGCUGCCUGAUUUGAAUGAAGGAUUGUUCAGUGUAGCCAGUGACCAGCAGAGCUGCCAGUUCCAACACUUAAAAAAUACAGUACGGCUUUUAAAGUGGAGUAGAAGGGCGUUGAAGCAAGGAUGCAGGGGUUCCUUGUCAAAUACACUGCCCAUCUGUCCUGGCUCUCCUUAGAGGGGGGGGCUGAGGCUUCCCAAAGGCAGAGAAAUGGUCCCCUGACCUCCACAUCCAAACCAGCAAAAAUAGGGAAGGAGGCCUACUACAUCUCUGUGCUCUGAAACAGACCAUCUAUUGGGUAGAUUCAAAUGGGUAGUUCCUUUCCCAUUAGCUCACUCUUGAAGCUGGUAUUUAUAGGUUAACUACAGCCCAGAUGUACAUUAUAGACUUCUGGUAUAUGCUCCAAGUUAAGUGCUAUGAAAGUGCUAUCAUCUCUGAACUCACAAAGAGUAUUCCAUACUCUAAGAAUUGAUAGAGAAAUUAUACACAUGAUCUCUGAGGUGAAUUGUAAUUAUAUGAUUAAAUAUUCAUAUUUUAAUUUGGAAAAGGAAUAUAUUAAUGAAUUGUUAUUGAAAUAUUUUCCAUGUAGAGUCAAGUAGGAAAACCUAAAGAGUCCGUCUUUUCUGCACUUGCAAUGAAACAUUUUCAUUGUUUGUGGUGGCAGGAAUAUUUUUAUAAAAGAACCAAAAUUAUUCAGCUGCCUUAGUGAUUUAACCAUUACUGAAUAAAGACCUUGCUAGGAAGCCAAAUUGCUACUAUAUUGGUCAGCUUCAAACUCCCACAGGAGUAUUUGGAUGCAGAGAAACAAAAUUGAGCUUCCCUAAAAAGGAUAAUUUUUAUUGUGAUGAUGGUGGGUAGAGGGAAGAAUGGGAUGGUCUCUGACUAUUCUCUGGUAUUCAGACAAUUCAUUUAAAAAACAAACAAAACAAAUUUAAGACACUUCUCUUUCCAUGUCCUCAUGAGGUGCUGGGAAAAGGGAUUCUCACAUAUGCAGAACCUACAUUUUCUAGCCACUGGUAUCAUCAUUCCUCAUGAAAUAGAUUGAAUUAAAAUAUUAGGAAUGCCUCUUUUGCCAGUCUUCAGAGUAAAAGAAGCAAUAUAGAAAUAAUAACCAUAUUGGCUUUCUAGAUGAACCCCAGUGAGGAUAGAAUAAUAUUGAGAGAGCUCAUCAUGAAGAGGUCUGGUAAAGGAAAAAUUACAAGACCACAAGUAUACUUCAUUGAAAAAGAGGUGCAUUUUCCUAUUGUUCUAACUCUUCUCUCUGACAGGAAGAUGCAGAAUAAUAUUGGAGACAUCUGCAAAGGAAAUGAGCCCCAAAAUUGCCUUAUUUGGUGCUAUAGUCAAAAAGGACACCUGCCUCAUUCACCAAAUAAGCAGUGUUUUGUUUUUUUUUUAAGCCUUUUUACAAGAUCAAGCCCUGCUACUCUGAGGAAUGAAUCAGAGGUAUUAUAUUUACCACAAAAAUAACUAACUGAAGGAAUUGAUUUACCUCUUUCUUAUUACAUUAGAAAGAGCAAAGAUUACAAGGAAGAUCUAACUCUUAAUGCCUUAUUGAUCACAUCUGAAUGCUGACCAUGUCUUUACUAUAGAAACAAUGCUUUGCUCUCAAAAAUCUUAAAAUGAGUAGGCCAGAAUUACUUAAUCAAAUCUAUAGGAGGAAGUGCAGAGCUGAACAAUGCAAUAGCUUGUGUAUUUUGACUUUACUGUCUCCAUGGUAACAUGCAUGAACAAAUUUUUUAAAAUAUAUAAAUGGUUUGUCUUUAGGGUAGGAAUUUGCCAAACUUUAUUUAGUUUAAUUAGUUUUUAAAUUAAUGAUACUUUAGAUAGUUAAAAUGUUUCCCCAGGAAUUCUUAUGUGAAAAACUAUUGUAUUUACUGACUUUUAUAUAAUUAAAUGUCCAUAUUUUUAGAGUAAACCAGCUGUGGAUUGAGAAUUACUAACUUGCAUAUAUUAAAGUGGCAAGCAUUUCAGCAAAGGGUGUAUUGGUAAGAAGCCAAAACAACUGUUGAAAAGUGAAAAUUUCAGUUCAGCUGAUUAUUUAUCAUGUGAAUCUCAUUUCUUAAAAUAUGGAAAUAUAUUUUAAUUGACUAUUUAUCUGAGUUUAGGCAAAUCAUAUUAGUCUUUGCAGACUGUAUCCUCAGGGAAUUAAAUGAAAUGCAAGAGGAGCAAAGUCACUGGAAUUAAGGGGAUAUUAAAAGUGACCCUAGGGAAUAAGGAAGUUGAAGAACUCUCUCAAACUGUGUUCAAUCUGGAAUAUCCAGAUACUAUCUUCUAUCAGAGGCCUAAGUGAGGUGUAUAACCCUUCCUGUUGCCAUAGUGUAAAGACACAAGCAGAGGCUACAGAUUUGCUGGAGAACCAGCUGCUGUUUCUGGGGGCCAGAAUACCAAUCGGUGCCAGGAAUUGCAUGGAAUGUGCUGGAGGCAUAGGGAACCUCCUCUUGUUCUGUAAGAUUAAUACAAGGUUAGCUAGGGUUAUGGAAAAGAGGUUGGUGAACAGU